rnacentral:rRNA from 1 species
AUCGAACGCUGGCGGCAGGCCUAAUACAUGCAAGUCGAACGGAGUGUCGGACGGGUGAGUAAUGCCUAGGAAUCUGCCUGGUAGAGGGGGAUUAAGUCCGGAAAUGGGCGCUAAUACCGCAUACUAUCAGAUGAGCCUAGGUCGGAUUAGCGAGUUGGUGGGGUAACGUUCUACCAAGGCGACGAUCCGUAACUGGUCUGAGAGAAUGAUCAGACACAGUGGAACUGAGACACGGUCCAGACUCCUACGGGAGGCAGCAGUGGGGAAUAUUGGACAAUGGGCGAAAGCCUGAUCCAGCCAUGCCGCGUGUGUGAAGAAGGUCUUCGGGUUGUAAAGCACUUUCAGUUGGGAGGCGUUACCAGCAGAAGAAGCACCGGCUAACUUCGUGCCAGCAGCCGCGGUAAUUC